CAGGCCUUCAUUUUUCAAAAAGAGAUUUUCUAGUUCUAGUCAAAUGGUGGUGCUAGUUCUUCAUUUUUGAGGCAUUGCAUUUCCUAAUUUCUUGGUCAUAACAACCUCCUGUGUAUUGCCACAGAGCAGAUUUCACCAAAACAGAGAAUGCAAGGGCACAUGCACAGAAGCUGUUUAAUGGGCUAGAAAGGUUAAUAGUCCUUUCUCCUGCAUAUUCUAUAGUGUAAGAAGACAGACAGACUGUGAGAUUCUUCUGUACAACCUGGAGACUUUGAUUAGACUUGAAGGAAGAAAAGUUACAGGCUGUCCUCUCCACUCCCUAGUCUUGGAGAUCUUCAAAAGGUACAGUUGUUAAUUAAAAAGAAUUAAGGGUUUUUGAACUAUGAACAAAAAGUAAACAAUUGUGGAGUUGAACUAUGGAAGAAAUGACCAGCACUUAUUACUUUGGUGCUCAUCUUGCUUGCAGUCAUGUGCCAGGACAACCUAGGUAAAUACAUGCUAUUCCAUGGUGCUCAUUAAGAAGAAAGUCAAAAGAGAAAGGAAACAUUUUAAAAGCAAUUAGAGUUGAAAAUAACAAGAAUAAAGAGAAGGGUAAGAGAAGGAAAGGGGCAGGAGAUACUGUCAUAGCAUCAGCAACAUGAUAGCAAUAGUACUGGAGCUAUUAGAGUAAUUUCAAAUCCAUAUGUGACUCUCUUGCUAGAUCACAAUCCUUGACUCUUUCAAUCUCUGAGUUGCCUUUAUAAUCCUCUCGCCUCCCAAUUUAAUUUAAUAAGCAUUACUCUAUUUAUUAAAUUCCAGUUAUAUGUAGAAAGCUUUUCUAGAUGCUGAACAUAAAAGAUUAAAAAAAAAAAC